rnacentral:tRNA from 1 species
GCGACCGUAGCUCAGUUGGUAGAGCACUCGGUUGUGAUCCGAGUCGUCGCGGGUUCAAGUCCCGUCGGUCGCCCCA